GAUGAAGAACGUAGCGAAAUGCGAUAAGUAAUGUGAAUUGCAGAAUUCAGUGAAUCAUCGAAUCUUUGAACGCACAUUGCGCCCGCUAGUAUUCUGGCGGGCAUGCCUGUCCGAGCGUCAUUUCAACCCUCAAGCCCCCGGGCUUGGUGUUGGGGAUCGGCGAGCCUCCGCGCCCGCCGUCCCCUAAAUCUAGUGGCGGUCUCGCUGUAGCUUCCUCUGCGUAGUAGCACACCUCGCACUUGGAAACAGCGCGGCCACGCCGUUAAACCCCCAACUUCUGAACGUUUGACCUCGGAUCAGGUAGGAAUACCCGCUGAACUUAAGCAUAUCAAUAAGCGGAGGA
rnacentral:misc_RNA from 1 species